UACGUAGGGGGCAAGCGUUGUCCGGAAUCACUGGGCGUAAAGCGUGCGUAGGCGGUUUCGUAAGUCUGAAGUGAAAGUCCAGGGCUCAACCUUGGGAAUGCUUUGGAAACUGCGAGACUUGAGUACUGGAGAGGCAAGGGGAAUUCCACGUGUAGCGGUGAAAUGCGUAGAUAUGUGGAGGAAUACCAGUGGCGAAGGCGCCUUGCUGGACAGUGACUGACGCUGAGGCACGAAAGCGUGGGGAGCAAACAGGAUUAGAUACCCUGGUAGUCCACGCCGUAAACGAUGAGUGCUAGGUGUUGGGGGUUCACGCCCUCAGUGCCGAAGGAAACCCAAUAAGCACUCCGCCUGGGGAGUACGGUCGCAAGACUGAA
rnacentral:rRNA from 1 species